UCUCAGAGACAGUUGAAGCAAACAAAAGAAACCCAACUUGUACCAAUCAGUAUCUCAGAAGGAAACAGAUGACACAAACAGAUUGAAGUGAGUUCAAGUAAGGGACUAUGUGCAAAGAUGUGGCUAGGCUUGAGGGGAUCAGUGAGAUGGGGUAAAGCAUCCAGGGUUUACCUCCCCUGGCCUGGAGGGGCAAGGGGGAGAGCAGGCACCAGUGCCUGAGGGAGGCACAGCCCUGGAAAAGGUGACUGGCAGACACUGUGGCCUUCCUUAGUGGCACACAGACUCUGCAGAAACAUGCAUCUGACAGCAGGAGUGAAUGCUCCCACCUCUCUCCAUCCAUCCUCUGAUCUGCUACUGGUGAGAGCUGAGAUCCACUUCUUAUUAGAUCCACACACUAGAAGGAGGACAAGGGAUUCUGGGAGAUGAAUAAACAGCCCCCAGGGAACAGAGCCAAGUGGAGAGCGGUGGAGAGAGGAUACCCUAAGGGGAAAACACAGAAUCUCCUCCUCACACUCCAAGGACUAAUUCAUUCCAUCUAGAAAGUGCGACUCCAUCCAAGAUAGCAAGCGUUCAACAAGUGUUGGCUGUAUCAGUCGGGAGGAAGCAUUCCAUUUUGGAGGGGAAGAAAAGAGUUGGAACCAGAGAGUGAAUCACAAAAUCCAGUUUCAGUUAACAGGAAAUGGAGUCUGAACUCCAGCUGGUGGAAGGCUCUACUCUGAAACUUUGGAAUCAGAACUUCACAACUUGUCGGGGAAGUACAGUAAUUGGCAAAUUUGAUGAGUGCGCCUGACCAUUUUGUUGGAUACUAUAAGAGCAAUUGCUCAAGGCAUUGCACAAGCUGGGGGGAUAUAUUUGCAGGAGUGCAUUGGGAACCAAGCCCCACUUUCCUGGGUCUCAGACAGAGGAACUGAAGGAUGCAUGUAAUCCAGUGCCAAAUUCCAGAUGCUGAAAUGAAAUCAGAAUUGCAGGAAUCCAAGGGAAGAGGAAUAAGGAUGACCCAUGUCCCAGAGCACCUGGUCCUGUGCAUCUUGUCCUGAGUGCUCGGCUAGGAGUGAAGCUCCCAGAGAACUCACUCUUCACCUACAGCACCUGCCCACGGCACCUUCCUACGUAGCAGAACUAAACUCUGGCACGCAGAGAAUCCACCUCCAAAAAUUGGUGCAAAAUCUAUUCAUGAGCAUUAUCAACAUUUGUUUUAUUUUAAGAAAUUGUUCUCAACUCUCAUGACUGAAUGUUUACUUCCAGGUAGUGUGUUUGCUAGUCUGAAAGUGGUUCUGCUCUGAAUUACUGGGACUUAGAGACUCACUGAGACUAAGGCCUCAUGCCUUUGUAGCUUUCCAAGGUAAAACUUAUUCGAAGCAACUCUUGUGGAUCUAAAGUUAACAUAGUUUGCACAUUAUAGUAACAUUAAUAGUUGGG
rnacentral:lncRNA from 10 species